rnacentral:sRNA from 1 species
GCCAGGUGGGUGGUGCCACCUGUAAUCCCAGCGACUCAGGAGGCUGAGGCAGGAGGAUUGCAAGUUUGGCACCAGCCUGGGUAACUUAGCCAGACCCUGUCUCAA